AUUGCAUGACAUGGUGCUGCACGUUUUUAUUCGUAUAAUUAUACGUAGAUGGUCAUUUGAUUUCCAAGAAACUGCAUACUAUACCGAGAAAUUUUGGCUGUAAAAUAUUUAAUAAUGAUGAAAACUUUACUUAUCCACGGUUGAAAACUAUUUUCAAAAAGUGAUUUUCCAAGCCGUGCUAGAUUAUUACAUAUAUAAACUACUACACUCUACAGUAUUAUAAUGAACAGGACAAAUAUAUAAGUAUGGCUAUAUAUCUUACACACUUUUUAAUUAUAAAGUACUUUUAUAAGAUGCCAAUGAUACCAAUAUGUUCAAGUUAGGUGGUAAUUUAUUCCAAGCCAAAGCACUCGGAUGGUGCUAUUAGCCAUUUUCCAAUCGAGCAGAGGACUGGGUCUAGUUGAAGUUUUGAGGGAUGUUUGGAGGGACAACAAGUUAUAGUGAGCGAGGUAAAUAUAUAUCCAAAGAUGCCUUAUUAUAAUUGUUGCGUUUCAGGCUGCACAAAUAACUUUAGGAAUGUAAGAAAACUUCCUAUAGAUGCCCAUUCUCGUACCCAGAGCCCUUCCUACGCGCGGUGCGACGAGGGGCUCUGGCCAAAUCCAUAUCAAACUGGCAUCUGAUUGGCUACAACGAAGGUUAUUGUUCUAAUACCGGAUAUAUUCUUUUACCAUGUUUUUACGGUAUCCGGUUUUGGCCAGAGCCCCUCGUCACACCGCGCGUAAGAAGGGCUCUGGGUACGAGAAUGAUAGAUGCCAAAUUGGGCAUAUUGUUUAUUUUUUGUCCCUCCAAACAAGCGACUAGACCCAGUCAUCUCUCCAUUGUGAAAUGGCUAAUUGUCAUGCUAAGUGUGCUAUAUUUGCCCGCUACAACUAAAUCAUGCACUCGAUAAAUCAUCGCUAAUUUUUGAACUAGCUCCUACUAAAAGAUAUACAAUACUCAAUACUUUGAGUUAUCCAAUACACAUAGAACUGCCAUCCAGUUCCUGGAUCGUUACUGGAUUGUACCGUUAUACUACCACUAAAUCAUGCACUCAUUAAAUCAUCGUUGAACUAGCUCCUAAAGUGUUGAACUAGCUCCUACUAAAAGUUAUACAAUACACAAUACUUUGAGUUAUACAAUACACAUAGAACUGUCAUCCAGUUACUGGAUCGUUAUUGGAUUGUCCCAAACUACAUACUACCACUAAAUCAUGCACUCAUUAAAUCAUCGUUGAACUAACUCGUAAACUGUUGAACUAGCCCCUACUUAAAGUUAUACAACACAUAAUACUAUGAGCAGGGUUCGUAGUCACCAAGACCAAAAAAUUUCACAGACUUUCAAAAACUUUUCAGCCUAUUUUCAAAGACUUUUCAAAGACCUUUAUGAGCAAUCGGCUGUUGAAAAAUUACAAUUGUAUAAGCGCCAUUUUUACCCGGUAUUGGUCCCGUCAAAUCACAUUCUAAAAUGCAUCUUCUUUUUCUGCAAUCGAUAUAUUUUACUAUAGCUAUGGAAGCGUUUUUAGCAAUACCUCUCUUCUUCGCAGAGGCUCUUAAAGGAUUAAUUUAGAAAGAAUUUCGUAGUGGCGCUAGAAGGUAAAACAAAGGUGAAAGUAACCGCUAAAAUGCGGUGGGCGGGCGCAGGAGAGAAGGGAAAGCGCCAGAAAGCCUCUGCCCGAGAUGUGACAAUAUCUGUAACAAACUGACGAUAUCUGUGACAAUCCUCAAUAUAUCUCAAGAAUCCUUACACUUUUUGCUUCAAAUUUAUGUGACUAUAUUUGGCCAACCGUUGGCUGUUUCAAACGGAGUCGUGCUUCAAUAACAAAAAAAAUUACAAACAUGGCAUUUACAUAGAACAUACAAGUUUGCAGAAUGAAUUAGGCUAUUUAUGAACAAAAUAUCAAGCCAUUUAUGAAACUGUUAUGUGUGUGUGUCAAUAUAUAAACUAAGUUGAAAUCAUGAGGCAAAUACACUGGUGCCAGGCCAUUUAAGCACUUGAUGUGCUCGACCGUCGAUGGUUUCGAAUUUUACCUACGCGUCAUUACAAAUGUUCUGCGCUGACAAGCGUUUUCCCUUCCCUACUCUCCCGCGCCCCGAAUUUAAGCGGUUACUUUCACAUACUUUUUUUUUUACCUUCCGGCGCAAUUACGAAAGUAUUUCUAAAUUAGUUCUUGAAAAGCCUUUGCGGAGGAGAGAGUAGCAAUUAUCACCAAGAAACUGGAAGACUUCGCUUUUUCAUUAAAUGCAUAGACCUUUCAAAGACCCUAAAUUCAAAUUUAAAGACUUUCGAAGAUUUUAAAAACAGCUACGAACCCUGCAUGAGUUAUACAACACAUAGCCUGCGAACAGGCUCACUGGGAGAAAGGUGAGCCUGCACGGAACCAUGCGUUUUAUUCAUUCAUCCCCUUUUCGCAUCUGCUAAACGCUAACCAAUCAGCGUCGACUGCGAUAAAUAAACUGUCAA
rnacentral:lncRNA from 1 species